CACCCUGCGAGUGAUUCAGAAGAAGUCCACCCGUAUAGAGCUGAAAACACGAGACACUGCAUAUAAUCAGAGAACUCAAAACCAAUUUCUCACCAACAAACAUCAAAUGGCUUGGCGCGGAUCUGCAUCAAGAUCUUUCUUCUCCGCAGCAAGAGCUAUGCGUUCAACAGCACAACGACCACCUCGUAUUCGUCCAACACCAGUAAUGGCUCCUCCUCGUAUCCAAGCACCUCGUUUCAACUUUGCCAAUCCAAGGGUGAAAUAGGUGUACGUAGUCACUACAACCACUGCUCGUCUUACAUCUCACCUCGCAGUCACCGUGGAGUUGUUAGCUGUCACAGGGUACCUUCUGCCGCACUUGUCCAGAUCGCUUGUUAGUAUUCUUUAUAAUUGUGCUUUUAGGUUAAAAGCAGGAUUUUUCUGUUAUUGGGAUUCACUAUUAUCCUCUUCUAUGCAAUUGGUGUUUUUUGUAUGAACAAUGCAGUGAUGGGUAGGCUUAUAAGUUCCAUAAAGUUUUGUUAUAUUGAUAAGAAAUAAAUUGGGAUUGAGAUUUGGUAGGUAAUGACGGAGAUAACUGAUGCACGAGACCAAUCACCAGAAACGCGAAAUGAUUACAAAACUUUGCAGGUUCCCUUUCUUCUUAAUUCGAAAUGAUUACAAAACUUUGCAGGUUCCCGUUCUUCUUAAUUCUGUUGUUUUUACUAGUAAAGGAAACCUAAUAACAAUUUAUGAUUCCUAGAAGCCGCCCCAAGUUCAUUUUAAGGCUAGAAGAAUAAAAGAAGUGCAAAGUGCUGUAGAAGUUAUCAACAUAUUCAUGCAUGAUUGCCAUUGUGUUACUUUAAUUUGAAGUCUUAUGGAAUGCUUUUAAAACCCUUACGUUAAGGAAGUUAAUUUGUUUUUUUAAAUUGAUAUUAAGCAAGUUAAUUUUCUGGCCAUUGCAUAUCGUUCAACAGCUAGACAGACUUAGUACUAUGACACUAUCUGGAAUGUUGAUUUGAUGUUUUUUUCUUCAUAGAAUUUGAUGUUUUCUUAGUACUAUGGCAUGCGAACUCAACACGAGCUAUAGUUUGCAAACUCUAUCCAAGACUACUAAUUACAUUGCUUCUUUUCGGUCAAAAUUGAGGUUCAUAACUUCAUAUACAGCCAUCUCUACGAUGGAAUAUGUGGACGAAGCUAAUUUUGAUGAUUGGUAGAACUAGAAAUAAGAUUUGUUGCCUUAGGUUUCCCUGUAACAAUUUGAGACUCUUUUUAUUAUAUGGUUAUGAGCAAUAGACCACGGAAUGAAGAGGAUUACAGAUUUCUUUAUAAAAAGGUUAGUGGUAAUUUUGAAAACAUCUAUGGAGUGUAAAACACGGAGUAUUAGGUUUAUAUACAACUAUCUCCAAGACGAAGCUAAUUACGACUGAUAGUAAUAAGAUUAGUUCCUGCAUUGUGAUAAUUCGAACCAAAGGAAAGUAUGUUUAUAUUAUAUGAUUAUGACUUGUGAGUGUGGCACUGAAUGAAGCAAUUUGAUGGGAACCCUCCUCACUGAAUGAAAGAGGAUAUCUUGUUGUAGUGAAAAUUUAGUUAGAAAGAGGUUAGAGUUGUAAAUUUCCCAACAUCUCUGAAUUGUUAAAAACAAAGCAGGAAAAAAAGAGUACUAGAAUGGUUGCACCAGCCAUCAGUUAGCAGAUCCGACUGAUGAUGGAGCACCCUUUUCACCGCCAUUGGUAUGCUUAGGUCAGACAAGACCUUGGUAGUUGGGAUCUAAUGGAUAUCUUAUCUUUAUAUUUUGAAACUUUUUAGAGCUUAUCAAGAAUCUAAGAUGUUAUUUUGUGCAACCAUAAAUGUUUGACAGCUUCCAAUUCCAUAUCCCACCCAUCAAUCAUUUGCUUGCAACCUCAGUUUCAUUAGGAUGGACACCAUUGGUUCCACCACAGCUUCUGCAUUAUAUUGGGGACCUCUGGUUCUACUGAUUUUUGCAUCAUGAUGGGUGUUAUCAAAACUAGGGGCGGAGCUAGGUAUGGGCAAGUAGGGGCCAUUGCCCCAUUCGGCAACUGGCUCCUAAAGCCAAUUUAUGCAUAUUUCCCAAAAUCCCCCCUGAACUAGCCUUUUUUUUAAUGUUUUUUUUACCACUGGGCCGAUACUGUCUAGGAUAACAGUAGAGCCUUCCUUUUGGUCACUGUUAUAAGAGCAGUCAGAAGUUUUUGAAUUCUGUUCCCUGAACAAACUCUCUCGAUCCUUCACCAGCUUCAUGUAAUCUCGUACUCAAACCUCAUCUUUUGACGAAUUCUCCGGCUUGCUAACUUCCAUCUUUAUUUUGGCAGAUCUUCUUAUUAAAAAAAUUCAAUUCAAUUGAUAGGAAUUGUUUUGCGAAAUACUUCAGUUAUGGACGGAAAAGUUAAGGUCUCCUUUUAUUUUGCAUAUUUUCUUAAUAUAAAGCUGUCAGCCUUUAUUGCUUCAUUAUGUCUAGCGAUGCUUUCUAAAUUUUAUCACUUCGCGUCCCCUACCUUUGGUUUUGCUAACGUUUGAGCAGUUAUGGUACUUGUUGUGGUGUUUAUGUUCUUAAGUUUCCAACUGCAUUGUAGUUAUUUGGUGUAGUAUGUCCUAUGAUUCCUUUGGGGGAAUAAUGAGACGCUUUCACUUAGGCACAUAAAAAGUCCUUUAAGUCACAGUAGGGUAUAUCCUAAGGAUGCUAAUGGCCGCAUAUAACAGAGAUGAGUAUAGCACAUUUAUAUUACUUGAUAGUCCCACCCUGUAUGAGUCCAUCGUCCAAAUCUUUCACAUCUUCAUACUUGUGAAGCAAGUAGUGGAGCUUGUAUUGCUGACUUCCUAUUUCCUAACUCUGUUGUUGUUAUUUGCUUCACAUGCAAAACCAUUGUUAUGCAGAGAAGUUGGAAUAUCCAUGUGCCAUGUGGACCACAGAAAAGUGGUCAUAUUUAAUUUUAGUGUACAACCCAAGCUAUAUGUGCAGGUAUGUUUCAGUUACUAGGAUUUUACUUCUUAACUUUCAUGCAACAUUGGUUUGUGAAACUGACGUACCUAUACUGUAUCUUGUGAUUUGUUGUUCAUGUACCUGACAUGAUUGUGGUAUAUGCACCAGGAGUGCUACAGUGUCUUGGGACCUAUGGCAGUCAGGUUAAUCUCGUGGAACCUCUUUUCCCUUGCGAGUUAGGAUAUUAAAGACAAAUAAAUAGUAGUCAGUUUACAAUUUUUCUGGCGUAACUAUCUUUCAAGUUGGAGUUGAGAUUUAAGAAAUCCAUUCUAUUCUGUUAAGUGAAUCCUAGUAUUCAUACUCUUUUUUGAUAUAUUUUCUUUCUGUUUCGUGAUCCUUCUAUCUAUAGUAUGCUUUUUUCUUGAUCCUUUGAUACUACGCUGAUUCCUUGUUUAAACCAUAUUUUCUACUUUGCUUAAUAUUUGUCUUCGAAUGGGUAAUUGCAAUAUUCAAACAACUUAGAACUCUUAAAUCUCAAAUGUUAGUCGUGUGUCUCUACAGUCCCAGUCUUUUAGAAAUUUCUUCCAUUGGGAAUCUUUUGUGGACGUGAUAUUUGGCAUUCACCCAAAAUACAUCCAAACGUUCUAAAGUUAGGUCAUUAAGACGGAUACAGGCAUCAUCCUAGUACAACUGCUCACUUCAGUGUGCUGUAAGUUCAUUGCCGCUUGAGUUAUUAUCAAAUAUGAACAGGUCUUUGAUCUGCUCCACAUAAUUGAAGGUUGUCUCUCUGUAGCUUGUAGUUAUUUAGAGUUUUAUAAAGUCGUACAGUACUCUUUCUAUGUUCUAAAUGCAUGUAGUUUAGUGGGUCCUGAAACACUGAUGAUGCAUGGUGUUGCUAUAGGAAAUGGCAAUCCCCAGCGGUGAGGUAUAUAGACUGACGUCCAUUUCGUGAAUGUUGCUUACAUUUUUAACAUUUCUGUUAAUUAUAACGAUUUGACUAAUGUCUUAAUUUUUUUGUUUUCGGUUCUUAUAUACUGCUAGAUCUUUGGCCAUGAUUGAUAGGGACAUGGACGUCAGAUUGGUGGUGUUUUUGAAACUCAAUUUUAUUUGCUUCUGCAUUAAUCAAGGACAAGUUGCGGAAGAGAAGCAGAAGCAGAAGAAAGAAGCAGAAGUGGCGGGAAGAGAAAGCAGAGAAGCCUAGCUUUGCAAACAAAGAUAGACGUGUGAGACAGAAAUGACACUGGAAGACACAAUCAGACCUGAGACCUCCACUAGCUUUUGGCAGCAGUUGAAAUUCUAAAUUUUUUAUUUAAUUAGUAUAUACCGAAAGAAUAGCAUGGUUAUUGUUUUUGUUUAAGCAGAAAAGCCAAGCUGGUAGCCAGAUCAACCACAUACGGAUUUGAUUUUAUCUGUCACAUAACAUUUGCCCGAAUGAGUCAACUGAUGUCCAAAUAGCAUGGUUAUUGUUUUCGUUGUAUUUAUUUCGUUUUCAAACAAAAAGCAGACGUAUUUUCGUUUC